rnacentral:rRNA from 1 species
GACAGAGGUCCCAAGCGUUAGGCGGAAUCACUGGGCUUAAAGCGUGUGUAGGCGGAUGCCUAAGUACCUUGUGAAAUCCCACGGCUCACCCGUGGAACUGCUUGGUAUACUGGGUGUCUUGAGCCACUUAGGGGCUACCGGAACAAAUGGUGGAGAGGUGAAAUGCGUAGAUAUCAUUUGGAACGCCAAUGGUGAAAACAGGUAGCUGGGAGUGUGCUGGCGCUGAGACACGAAAGCCAGGGGAGCAAACGGG